AUGUACUCGUGACUAUUAUGGAAGUAUGAGUACUAAAGCCUUGAUAGAAUUGUUAAGCAUUCGCAAGAUACUAAAAGAGCUUAGCAUAUAAGAUAGUUGUUGAAUUGCUUAACAAGGAUCUAGAAACAGUUUAGGGCUAGCUUGAUAUCCGUAUGGUAAAUUGAUAUUGAAGAGAUCCUUUUAUUUGGAAGUUAAACUUAUUUUAGGAAAAUUUCGGAUCUUUAGAGUAGUCUGGUGAGAGAAAGAAAAAGGGGUUCAUUAUUAUAGUAGAUUAAGUGGUUCCUAGAAUGCUCUAGAAUUAUUAGUCGAAACGAUUGCUGAGUAGGCUACAGAGAGAAGAAAUUUUGAGGAGUAUUUAGUGAAAAAUAUAUGUGAACAAGACUAGCAAUAUUGGUCCUAGUGCAUUUGGGAGAUCUUUAAGCAUUGGUCAAUUAUGGUAAAAGACUAUUGCUCAAACAAUUGGAUGCACAAGAAUUCCUUACACUCAAAUAUAUUCCCAAGUAUUGAAGGAUAUUGAUCUGAAAGGUGAAAGGUACGCCUUGAAACUCUAGAUCUUGUUGAAAGUUUAGAAUCAUGAUUUUAUUUGGAUUAUUAAGAAUAGGUUUUAACAAUAAUUAUUCCCUUUCGAUGUUCAAAAAUUCUAGCCCUAACAGUAUGUGAGCUACUAUCCAUAAACUUGUUUGAGGCCGGUGUAACUUUUCGUAGCCUUUAUAAGUUUAGUGUGACCUAAUAAGAUAUAAUCUAAGAUAGGAAUGAUUUGAAAGUCCGUUAUCAUGUAGUUCGAUCUAGGCUACCCUAAGUUUCUUGAAUUAAGAUGUUUAAUGUACAAUUUUGGAAGAAUCCUUAUUUUCAAAAGUUUCCUACACAGUUGAGAGUAAGAGAGUUAGAGCCAUAUAAGUUAAGCAUCAACAUGCUUGUCACUAGAAUUUUCUUUCUUGUCAAAUUGAAAGAAACUAUAGCCUUUGGACUGGCUAAAUACAUCCAUAGCUAUCAGCAAGACAGUAAAUUGCCGAAAGAAAAGAAUGUUUUAUGCAAUGCCUUGCAUGCGGAUAAUUACCUUGUCCAGAUUCUUGAUGAAUAUAUUUUAGGUCUCAACCAUUCCAACAAUAUGGUCCCGAAAGUUCGGUAUUUCUAGUGCCCUCGCACUUGCAUACUACCACUAUGAAGAUAAGCUUAGUAUCUACCCAUUGCUUAAAGGUCGAUUAGUAUUCUCUACAACCUAAAGAAUCGAACCAAGGGAUACAAUAGGCUUGGUGAAAAGUUCUUAGAUAUAAGAUUUGUUCAGUUGAGUGUUUUUAGUUGGGAACUACUUGAUGAAACUUUUAUUUGAGAAAGAUUUGAACAACAUUGAAGAAGAGAGAUAAACUCAUUUAUUGUUUUGCGGUAGUGUUAGCUAGAAGAAGAAAACUUGCUUGGUUGUUAUGCAGAAUCCAAAACCUAGCAACAUCUUGACCUAAUGCUUUAGGAAACUUCCAACCUUUUAGAAUAUUAGAAAGAUACGAGUUUAGAUCCUCGACUGCUAUAGGUAUAGAUCAUUCAAGAUUUAAGUAUAUAGCCUACCGAAUAUUUUGAACUCAAGGUGAGAACUCAUAAACUAUGUAUACAUGAAAGAUGACACCUCUACAUUAGCACCAGACUGCUAUAUUGAGAAAGAGUAUGCACACCAAACAAUAUAGGAUUUAAGAGGAAGUUAUGCUCACCAUGUGAAGUUCAGUUUUCAUUCAAGGGGAAUGGAAAUACACAAAUACUUUUGGUGAAUACUUUUUGGGAGAAAACCAAGAGGUUAAAGUUAGAUUUAUAUAUUCGUCUAAUAUAUCAACAUGGUAGCAAAAUAGAUCGGAAUGGUAUAAUACCUUAAGAUUUCAAGUACUAUUAGGGAUGUCAUGAUAUAGUCUAAGUACGAACCACCACCUGUAUUGGAUUGAGAAACCUACGUAAAAUUCGAGGACGAAUUUUCUUUUAAGGUGGGUAGACUGUAAUAACCCGAACUUUUAGGAAUAAUUAUAUUGCAUUUUUUUUAUGAUCUCGAUAGUUCAUAUAUCUUAGAAAACAUUUUUUUUGUGUGAAGAUUUUGAUAAUUCAAAAAGCUCAUCUCAUGACUUUCUAACUCAUGAGUUUAUUACGAAAAUACCUUUUUGAGUGUUGGAUCAUCUCAACAUUUAUAAUUCAUGUAGAUGCCUAUAGAUUACACUUCUCUAAAUCAUUUCAAUUCCUAAGCAUUUUAAUUUGAGUUGAUUAGUUUUAUUCAUUUUGAAAUUAAAUCUUAGAACCAAAUGACAAGCUUUACAUGCAUUUUUCAAGAACAUAAAAAGAAAGUGAAGAUGACUUUGUGAUGAAAGCAGCUUCUAGCAGCUGAUCUCAUCAUCUCUAACACAUAAAAAUCUAGCCUAAAAGUCUUUGUUUAUUCACUUGGAGCUUAACCACACUCCUAUUCACCAAGGGUAAGUAGCUAGCUUAGAAACUAACUUGACUAAGGUUAGAUGUUGUUUUGGGUCUAUAAAAGAGCACUACUUCCUGCUCUAACUUCAUCCCAUUCUCAUUCAUAUAGGAAUUUCACUUAGAAACUCAUUGGAAAGAAAGAAAUCUUUAGUUAAAGAAAGUUAGCUUAAGCUCUUAGGUUCUUUAAGUUGUGAAGCUCAAUUUCGUGGCCAAGCCUCCAAUCACCUGUUGAUCACUUCAAAAGAUAUUCAUGUUUUGAGUAGAUGCUUGGGGAAACGGGAUGAUCCUACUAGAUAAAAUAAUAUUUUUCUACUACUAUUUCUAGUAAAUACCUGUACUUAUUUGAAUUUUGCUUAACUUUGAUUAUGUAAAUAUAUUACCGAUUUUUGUUUUCUAAUAAAAGUACUAUUCAAACAUGUAUAUAAUUUCUUUUA